UACAGAGGGGGCAAGCGUUGUUCGGAAUUACUGGGCGUAAAGGGCGCGUAGGCGGCCUGUUAAGUCGAACGUGAAAUCCCUGGGCUCGACCCAGGAACUGCGUCCGAUACUGGCAGGCUUGAAUUCGGGAGAGGGAUGCGGAAUUCCAGGUGUAGCGGUGAAAUGCGUAGAUAUCGGGAGGAACACCAGUGGCGAAGGCGGGCUUCUGGGCCAUCACUGACGCUAAGACGCGAAAGUUAGGGGAGCAAACAGG
rnacentral:rRNA from 1 species